CAAUUGUGCUGAGAAACAAAGGAGAGUGGAUGAAGAACACAGCAGCCUGCCUCCACAGCUUUGGAAUCGAUGUGCAAAUAAUUUCCUUGGGAGGAACUCUUUAGAUUCUGAGGACUUCUCCUGGCAUGUGGAACUGUAAGACCAGAUACAAGAGGAUUCACUCCAAAUUGUACACCACACUCAGGCAUGGGACUAAGAAUAUGGAUAUAUACAAAAAGAAAUUUAAGAGAACACAGAAGAAGAGAUAAUGAGAAAGAAAGAAAGAAAGAAGAAAGAACGAUCUACAAUCAGAAAGUGAUUCAAAAGACUCUCAGCUAAGUGCUACAUAAUGAGCAACUCGUACUCCUCAACCAAACGGCACAGCAAGAAGACAGCCAUUGGUGAAACAGGAAGAAGACCUUCAUCAGAACCCAAUCUUUGUGGCACCCUAAUCUUGGACUUCCCAACCUCCAGAGUUAUGAGAAAUAAAUUUAUGUUGUUUAAGCCAUUCUAGUCUAUAAGAUAAUGAAAGAGAGGCACCUGACUCAAGCAAUGGAUGUCGGAGCAGAAGACUAGAAGGCAAAGCAAGUACAUGCUACCUGUCUGGGCAAGACCUUUCAGUGCCUUUCCAUAUUUCAAUGGGUAGUCAUCUGCACACCUUCCAGUCUUUUCUUCUGUAUUGCAAAGGCUAGAAGCCUUGGUACUAUAUUUAUCAAACUUACUUUUUUUUUUUUUAACAAAUCUUCAAUGUGAUUCUCAUUUUGCUAAGAUACAUUUGUAUGAAAUUUUGAGAUAGAAAAGUAUGAAUAAGAAAGCAUUGCCUUCUUUCUCAGUGGCAGCACACAAACAUAUGGACUUCACAGACACGACAUUUUGCAGCAACUUCUAGAUCUUCCCCCUGUGAGUGCCCUGGGACAUCAUUACAAUAAAUAAACCAUUCAGGAAGUCAAAGGAUGGUAGUUUUCACAGAAGCAUUGCAAGCAUUGAGAAGAAAAAUAAUCCAUAUCUAGUAGGUUUAUUUUUAUGAGGAUAAAUCUCUGGCCUCUCCAUAUGGAAAAGGAUCUCCUGUAAGUUAAUCCUGCCAUCAGGUUGCUGGCUGGUUUGCCUGGGAUAUAAAGCCCUAUUAGUGAGCCAGUGGUGACCUUUGCUGCUGUCUGGUUAGAUGCGCAGCAGCACUGCAGUCACCCUUUCUGAGGGAAAGUUCACGUUUUGAAGCCUAGGUAGAAAUUCUCUCUGUACCACCAUGGUUUCACUGAAUGUGAGUCAAUUGAGGCAUCACCAGGGUGGCAAAAAGUUAUCAAGUCAAGCCCAGUCAACUCAGAAAAUUCAUCUCAGAAUUCCAUUUUACGUCAAUUUCCUGGCAUAAUGUUGAAACACUCUGCCCUUUAGUAUCUGGAACAAUGUCUAACACAAUAAUGCUUAACGCCGGGGAAAUGAGGGCAUAGGUCUGAAUCUCCGGAGAUUCCUUUUAUGGGGAAUAUCUUUUAACACCCCUUAGGAAACAACAUCAACUCACUAAAGACAGUACCAAUAAGGUCUCCUGCCUUCCCCAGGAAUAAAGAUUUAAAUCACACCAGCUCAAUGCUGGUUGAGGGCAAGGGAACAAUGAAUGGCUUGUGGAAGGGGAAAGUUAAAAAUGCAAAUUACAACUUUGUGCCCCAUUUAAGGAAAGAGAACUUGAAUAGCUAUGCAUAUUUGUGUUUUCUUCCUUGCUUUGUUAUGUACAUAUUUGUAUAUAUCAGCCACUAACUUCUUAUCUUUCCUUCAUUCUUCACUUACUAAUUUACAUAAGGUACUGGUAGUUCAUAUAAAUUCAUUUUUAGAGACUAAAUAUAAAAGCAGAAUUGCAACUGAACUUAAGCAAGAAUCAUUAUCACCCAGGGCUAGAUUUGGUGACUAAUAGAAGUUUGGAUCUCUAUUUUUAGAGGAGGGAUUGAGAAAAUUUUUGUAUGGGGAAUAAUUCUAUUCUAUUAGCAAGAAUCGUGUUGUUUUUUGCCAUUGCUGCUAAUUAAAAUUUUAAAUAUUGUCAAAAGU
rnacentral:lncRNA from 1 species